UAUUAAAGAACAUUGGUGAACUUUAGGCAAACGUUGCUUAAUAAAGAACACACUUUCUUCCAUCAUAGUUUGUCUAACGUUAGUGCUAGCCAACGCUUGUCAAUAAUCCCACAAACACAAAGCAGGCUAAUGUAACGUUAGUUUUCUUCUUGAUAGGGAUCUGGUCGACGUUUAUGACGUUAACUAACGUGAUCUGGAAUUGCUAGUGUGGGUACCUGAUCUGCACGGGUUACCAGAUCUGCAUGAUUACGUCAUAAUAGAUGAUGUGUCGCCACCUCAUUCGUCCAAAGUCGAGAGUAGAAUUCGGCUGGGUUUGAAGCGUAGCUGCUCAAGCGAUGCCUGAGGCCUCAACGGAAAAGACCACCUUCAGCAUUCACUCCACAUUACUCCCGGCAGAGACAGGUGUCUUGUCCUACUAACACCCCACUCGUGGCCUGCACCUUGAUGUGGUUGACAGGCCUCAAUGGACAGUGAGACAGUGAUCUACAUUUGGACUGGCACCAACCAGACAUGGACACUGAAGCUUGAUUUCUCAUGAAUAUCUUUACAAGAUGCAACACACAUUGUGGAACACUUUAGACACUAAUAAACAUGUCCAUUGUUUUCUCUGGAA